CUCAGGAAAUGGCCGAAAAGUAGUGAAACAAGCUCUUAUCGAUGGCGGAAAAUAGGAAGAAAUUGCCUCAGCUUCGCCGACUAUAGAAGGGGACCUUCGGCGGCACGAAACUUUGGUUGCCAUUUCUCAUCGUUGCCCAUCACUUCUAGACCCUCUUGAUUUUGGAGGAUGAUUGUUAACAAUCCAUAAUCCGAGUGCCGGGGGAGGCCCAGAGCUAAUUUUGGUUCUGGGCAAGCAGGGUAGCAAUUCACGGCUAAGACUUGGGAGCCUUGCUCCACAUCAUUCUGCAAGUAGUCCGAUCGUAGACCCAAACUCUUAAAUAUUAUCUGCAUUAGCUUUGUAUGUAAAAGAAGCACAGCCUUGGCAUAGUUUCCCAUUUUCUUCCUACAAAAUCAAUUCGUACUCUUUGAGUCCCACCUUGUAUGUUUUGACUCGGGAUAAUGAUGAUAAGGCAAAAUAAGAAAGUACAGUAAUAGGAGUAUAUUUUAUUAAAUGUGGCAUAUUAUGUUUUACUACUAGUUAUUAGUUGUGCAAGGACUGAAUUGUGUUGCUUACUUGUAAGUUGGAGGCUCUGAUGGCCACAAGUCGAUCCAAGUUGAAAUUGGGUUGGAGUAGUGUUUGAUGAAGUCUCUCCAAUAUUGAACUUUAUCCUUGACUUGAUUUACACUUGUCCCGUACCUUACAGGUUCAUGAACAUUAGUUGAGGCAAGCCGCAUCUUUGCGUCAUUUGGCAUCUCAAAGAAAUCUUCUGCAACAUCCAGAGCCUCAUCCGUUAAUGAAACAUGAAUUCCAUGAUUGAUCACCUGCAGGGGAGACAAGAAAUUUUUAGCACAUCUUCUUAGAAUAGAGUGGUUAAACUGUGCAUGAUGUGCUUACAGUCAAACUGCUUUGUAGUUGACUGCUCAUGCAAUGAGAAGCCAGUAUAAUACCACGGAAGAUGAAAUUCUUCAGUGAAUUUGCCUAAACUGCUUCAGGAUCACACUUUGUUUUACUUUCUUCACUAGCAAUGCACUCUCAUUAUUGAUGUUAAACCAUGCAAUGCACUCUCAUUACUUAUUAGGAAUUUUACACUGUUAGUUAUGGCCUAAAAUCUGUUUUGUCGUUCAGGUGGGUUUUAUGCAAUUAUAUGUGAUUAUUAACAUACCUGAAAACCUCCGAAUUCCUUGCAAGCCACUUGCACUUGUUCAAUCACCUGUGAUUGACGAACCGGGUUCUCUAAAGAGGAGAGAUCUAUGAGUGGCAAAGCACUGAAGGAGGAAGGUGGUGUCAGCUCAAGGGUAGGGCGAUCUGCUGGAGGAAGAAUAUAGCUCUCAGGAACAGUGCUUAUACCCAUUUGUGCAAGUGUCAUUGUGCUCGUGAAAUACUGAUCUUCUGCGGAGUGAGUAUUAUCUGCCAUGCACAUCUUCAUCAGAAAUCCUUGAGCAACUUCCUCACCUGCUCAAGCGUCACAAACAGCACCACCGUAAACGGCCCCUGCCUCGAUAUCGUCGGAAUAAACCCCUUGUAAAGGGCGAACGACCACUCGGCCCUGAUCGUCUUCAUCGGAAAAGCUGAGCUGCUUAAGGUCUGAGGAUGAAUCAUGGGGCGGAGUUCCGGAUGCCGUGGGGUCGGGGGCUGUUGGGAGGAGUCUUCCGGCGGUUCUCCGGGGACGGCGUUGGGGUCGGCCGACCCCGCGCGACCCCACCUGCAUCCGCCGAUGAUUCCAAGGUGGAGAGAGAGAGAGACAAAAGAUGGUUGUCAUCACCACUUCUUCCACUUGGAUAUUUUAUUACGCGGGAAAUAAGGCAUGACUUCACAGAGUC